UUAUCAAAAACAGAAACAUAUAUGAUACAUGAGUUUUUACCUCCGAUAAUGUUAACCACCUUUUAGGGCUUGAUAUUUGGGGAUUUUUUUUUGCUUGUGUGUCAGAGAAAUAUGAAGAUAACCAGUUACUGAUGUAAAUUUCAUGCUGAUUUAGGAAAAUUAGGGCUUCAGCUACUUCAACCCAGUUUCCAAUAUGGCUAUCUAAGGGUGUGAUCGGUUUAGGGACUGUUUGUUUUCCUUCCGACUCAGUCCAAUCAGUAUUUUUCUCAGACUCGGUCCGAUUCUGUUUGUUUGAUUAGGAUAUGUCCAUGGUAGUCCAUCACAUCUGAUUCGGUCCUCCAAAAAAAUAACGCUGACUCGGUCAUUUCUUUUGCCUUCAUGUAUUUGCCCUUUCUUUCUCCUUGCAUUUUGAGGCGAUUUCUUCCUUCUCCUUCCCCCCGAAGUAUUCAUACUCUCCUCCCACCUCCAAACUUUGCAUCGGAUCCUCCUACCUCCGACCAACACCUUCGUCGCCGACUCGCCUGAGCUCCAGCCUCCUUCCAGCAGCAAGAAAAAUGUUCUCUGUUGAUAGCCGCAGGUGAAGAUGAUCGUCACCAAUACAGUCGGUGAAGGUGAUUGUCACUGGAUGUGGGAGGCACAGUUUUACAGCCACAAUCUCUUACAAGCCCUAAUUUGGCCCUCUGCUUUGUUCUGUAAGUUGUAAGCUCAAACAGGAGAGGAAGUGCAUCAUGAGAGUGUUUUUGAAACAAAAACAAGACACCAAUGAUGAAAUACACAAUGACCCAUACCCAAUAAAAAAAAACAAGUCACCAAUUUGCCUAACUCAACCAUUAGCUUCGUAGCUCAUGUAAUGCAUGAUUUCACACUUUAUAAUUGGAAUAACAAAAAGAGUUGUGAGAGUUAUUUGAUUUUUUUUUUGUUGUUGUUGAUUUUGAUUGAUAAAAGAAUUGAAUUUUAUGUGUUUGCUGA